UGCAUGUGGUCCAAAUUCAAAAGCUGUAGCUUGAGAAAUGUGAAAGUAGAUCACUAGAUCAAUUUCAAGGACGAAAUGUGAAAGUAGGUCACUAGGUCAAAAUCAAGGUCAAAUUACACUUCAGAACACAAAUUUAUGCAUGUGGUCCAAAUUUAAAGCCUGUACCUUCAAAAAUGUGGAAGUAGGUCACUAGGUCAAUGUCAAGGUCAAAGUUUGUUUCGGUACACAAUCCUAUGCAUGUGGUCUAAAUUUGAAGCCUGUAGCUACAGAAAUGUGGAAGUAGGUCACUAGGUCAAUGUCAAGGUCAAAGUUCAUUUCGGUACACAAAACUAUGCAUGUGGUCCAAAUUUGAAGGCUGUAGCUCGAGAAAUGUCAAAGUAGGUCACUAGGUCAAAAUCAAGGUCAAAUUUUAUUUCUGAACACAGAACUAUGCAUGUGUUCCAAAUUUGAAGCCUGUACCUUCAAAAAUGUGAAAGUAGGUCACUAGGUCAAUGUAAAGGUCAAAGUUUGUUU